GACGAACGCUGGCGGCGUGCUUAACACAUGCAAGUCGAACGGAAAGGCCCUGCUUUUGUGGGGUGCUCGAGUGGCGAACGGGUGAGUAACACGUGAGUAACCUGCCCUUGACUUUGGGAUAACUUCAGGAAACUGGGGCUAAUACCGGAUAGGAGCUCCUGCUGCAUGGUGGGGGUUGGAAAGUUUCGGCGGUUGGGGAUGGACUCGCGGCUUAUCAGCUUGUUGGUGUGGUAGUGGCUUACCAAGGCUUUGACGGGUAGCCGGCCUGAGAGGGUGACCGGCCACAAUGGGACUGAGAUACGGCCCAGACUCCUACGGGAGGCAGCAGUGGGGAAUAUUGCACAAUGGGCGGAAGCCUGAUGCAGCAACGCCGCGUGCGGGAUGACGGCCUUCGGGUUGUAAACCGCUUUCGCCUGUGACGAAGCGUGAGUGACGGUAAUGGGUAAAGAAGCACCGGCUAACUACGUG
rnacentral:rRNA from 1 species